GAGACCCACGCCAACGGUUGCCAGCUCGUCCUCCGGGAUGGUGGGGACACUGUUGGGACCGCCUCUGCUAAAGAGGAGGAAGGAAUGGGCAACGGUAGGUCAGCAUGCCCCGAAUUAUCUUGGCUACACGCGGGCUACAAUGGGUGGGACAAUGGGUAUCGACACCGAAAGGUGAAGGCAAUCUCCUAAACCCAUCCGUAGUUCGGGCUGUGGGCUGCAACUCGCCCACAUGAAGCUGGAAUCUGUAGUAAUCGUGUCUCAAAAUGGCACGGUGAAUAU
rnacentral:rRNA from 1 species